rnacentral:rRNA from 1 species
UUGCGGUCGUACUCCCCAGGCGGAGUGCUUAAUGCGUUAGCUGCGGCACUUAAGGGCGGAAACCCUCAAACACCUAGCACUCAUCGUUUACGGUGUGGACUACCAGGGUAUCUAAUCCUGUUUGCUACCCACACUUUCGAGCCUCAACGUCAGUUACAGUCCAGAAAGCCGCCUUCGCCACUGGUGUUCUUCCAUAUAUCUACGCAUUUCACCGCUACACAUGGAGUUCCACUUUCCUCUACUGCACUCAAGUCAUCCAGUUUCCAAAGCCAUUCCUCAGUUGAGCUGAGGGCUUUCACUUCAGACUUAAAUAACCGUCUGCGCUCGCUUUACGCCCAAU